GGGAAUUAGGAGAAAAAGGAUACCGGGCAUCCGCCAAGAAGGCCCAGAUUUGCCAAACCAAGGCCCUCCUACUGGACACAGACCGCGUCCAAUUUGUACCUCCGGUUACCUUGAACCCUGCCACGUUGCUACCGGCACCGGAAGACCAACAGAGCGCACACGAUUGCCGGCAAGUACUGGCUGAGACCCAUGGGACACGGGAAGACCUUAAAGAUCAAGAGCUCCCAGAUGCGGAUCACUCUUGGUAUACGGACGGGAGCAGUUACAUCGACUCAGGUACCCGGAGGGCGGGAGCGGCGGUAGUAGAUGGCCACCACAUCAUAUGGGCACAAUCACUACCUCCUGGCACGUCUGCACAAAAGGCCGAGCUGAUAGCGCUCACCAAGGCCCUAGAACUAUCCGAAGGGAAAAAGGCUAACAUAUACA